rnacentral:rRNA from 1 species
UACGUAGGGCGCAAGCGUUGUCCGGAAUGAUCGGGCGUAAAGAGCUCGUAGGCGGUUUGUUGCGUCUGCCGUGAAAUCCCGAGGCUUAACCUCGGGCCUGCGGUGGAUACGGGCAGACUAGAGGUAGGUAGGGGAGAAUGGAAUUCCCGGUGUAGCGGUGAAAUGCGCAGAUAUCGGGAGGAACACCGGUGGCGAAGGCGGUUCUCUGGGCCUUACCUGACGCUGAGGAGCGAAAGCGUGGGGAGCGAACAGG